AUGGCCGUGGGUGGUCCCUCACUUGCUCUCCUCCUCUCUUUUGCUACCCCCUGGGAUGUAGGGAGCCAGGGCACCCAGCCGGAAUGGCAUGAUCCUGAAGCCCAACUUCCACAAGGACUGGCAGUGGUGCGGCCAUGUGGCUCAGCCAGCCCAUGGGGCAGAUCUGCAGAAGCAAGGUAGCCAGCAAAAGCAGGCUGCAUGGCUCACUCGUAUGGGCCCAUCCACCCAUAGUAAGGUGCCCCAUGCUGAGGCAUCACUACAAAGCACGAGCUGGCAGGGGCCUCAGCUUGGAGGAGUUAAGGGUGGCUGGCAUUCAUAAGAAGGUGGCCCAGACCAUUGGCAUCUCUGAGGACACAAGGAGGAGGAACCAGUCCACCGAGGCCCUGCAGGCCAAGGUGCAGAGGCUGAAGGAAUACCGCUCCUCGCUCAUCCUCUUCCCCAGGAAGCCCUUGGCCCCCAAGAAGGAAUACAGUUCUGCUGAAGAACUCGAACUGGAUACUCAGCUGACAGGACCAGAAGUGCCCAUCGGCAAUGUCUACAAGAAGGAGAAAGCCAGAGUCAUCACUGACUAGGAGGAAAACUUCAAGGCCUUGUUAGUCUCUGUAUGGCCCAUGCAAAUGCCCAGCUCUUCGGCAUAUAGGCACAAAGAACCAAGGAAGCUGUAGAAGAGGAUGUUUUUAAAAAAAAACGGGUAGGCUCGAGCCGCUGCAUCAGCUCCGUGCUGGGUCUCUCGGUCCCGCAGCCAUGAGGAGGACGCUCCCCAGACUCACUACCCGCCGGCUCCCUCCCCCGCGUCCCUGCGGUGGUGGGCCAAGAUGACCUGUUGUGCAUCAGAUGCCUUUGAGACAUACAACUGGAGAUGUGAGAUAGGAAAUUGAAUGUAAAGACUGGAAGCUUGGAAGAGCAGAACUCUGAACAACGUGCCUCAGGAGUGCAAGCUGCUGAUGAAGUAUGUCGCAUUUUUUAUGACAUGAGAAUUCGUAAAUGCCCCACACCAGAAGAAAUCAAGAAAAGAAGAAAGGCUGUCAUUUUUUUUUGUCUCAGUGCAGACAAAAGUGCAUCAUGUAGAAGGCAAAGAGAUCUUGGUUGGAGAUGCUGGUAUAACAGCCUUUCAAGCAUUUUGUGGGAAUGCUUCCUGAAAAAGAUUGUCGCUAUGCUUUGUAUGAUGCAAGCUUUGAAACAAAAGAAUCCAGAAGAAUUGAUGUUUUCUUGUGGGCACCAGAACUAGCACCUCUGAAAAGUAAAAUGAUCUAUACAAGCUCCAAGGAUGCAAUCAAAAAGAAAUUUCAAGGCAUAAAACAUGAAUGGUAAACAAAUGGACCAGAAGAUCUCAAUCGGGCUUGUAUUGCUGAAAAGUUAGGUGGAUCCUUUUUUUUGAGAUGGAGUCUUGAUCUGUCGCCCAGGCUGGAGUGCAGUGAUGGGAUCUCAGCUCACUGCAACCUCCGCCUCCCGGGUUCAAGCGAUUUUCCUGCCUCAGCCUCCUGAGUAGCUGGGAAUAUAGGCGUGCGCCACCACACCUGGCUAAUUUUUGUAUUUUUAGUAGAGUCAGAGUUUCACCAUAUUGGUCAGGCUGGUCUCGAACUCCUGACCUUGUGAUUCGCCCUCCUUGGCCUCCCAAAGUACUGGGAUUACAGGCGUGAGCCACUACACCUGGCCAGUGGAUCAUUAAUUGCAGCCUUUGAAGGAUGCCCUGUGUAGAUCAUCAUUCAGUGCCACAAAUUGAAAGCUUCCAGGUUUAAUGUUAUCCUCUUGCUAUAUAAAUAGAGCAAAUAUAUUUAGGCCAGGGUCUCACUGA